rnacentral:rRNA from 1 species
UACAGGGGGUGCAAACGUUGCUCGGAAUCAUUGGGCGUAAAGCGCACGUAGGCGGCUUUGCAAGUCGGAUGUGAAAUCCCUCGGCUUAACCAAGGAAGUGCAUCCGAAACUGCAGAGCUUGAGUACUUAAGAGGAUCGCGGAAUUCCCGGUGUAGAGGUGAAAUUCGUAGAUAUCGGGAGGAACACCAGUGGCGAAGGCGGCGAUCUGGGAAGAUACUGACGCUGAGGUGCGAAAGCGUGGGGAGCAAACAGG